UACAGAGGUCUCAAGCGUUGUUCGGAUUCAUUUGAGCGUAAAGGGGUGCGCAGGCGGCGAGGCAAGUCGGACGUGAAAUCCCGGGGCUUAACCCCGGAACUGCGUUCGAUACUGCCUUGCUCGAGGACUGGAGAGGAGACGUGGAAUUCCUGGUGUAGCAGUGAAAUGCGUAGAUAUCAGGAGGAACGCCAAUGGCGAAGGCAAGUCUCUGGACAGUUCCUGACGCUCAUGCACGAAGGCCAGGGGAGCAAACGGG
rnacentral:rRNA from 1 species